AUUGAACGCUGGCGGCAGGCUUAACACAUGCAAGUCGAACGAGCGGCGGACGUGUGAGUAAUGUAUGGGGAUCUGCCUGAUGGAGGGGGAUAACUACUGGAAACGGUAGCUAAUACCGCAUACCAUCAGAUGGACCCAUAUGGGAUUAGCUUGUAGGUGAGGUAACGGCUCACAUGGGCGACGAUCCCUAGCUGGGCUGAGAGGAUGAUCAGCCACACUGGAACUGAGACACGGCCCAGACUCCUACGGGAGGCAGCAGUGGGGAAUAUUGGAAAAGGGGCGAAAGCCUGAUGCAGCCAUGCGGCGUGUAUGAAGAAGGCCUUCGGGUUGUAAAGUACUUUCAGUCGGGAGGCGUUACCGACAGAAGAAGCACCGGCUAACUCCGUGCCAGCAGCCGCGGUAAUAC
rnacentral:rRNA from 1 species